UUCGACCACAACACGUUGAAAAACCUGUUCUCGUACGAUCACUGAAGUUAAGUAACGUCGAGCCUGGACAGUAAUUAGAUGGGUGAUAGCUUGCGAAUGUUGGGUGCUGUAA